rnacentral:rRNA from 1 species
GGAUUGACACAUCGGUCGUGCCUUAAGGGGUAUGAACUGGUGUAGUCAAUUUCUCACCUUCUGGAGAACCGCGAUGUCCUUAAUUGGGUGCCGCGGGGAACCAGGACCUUUACUUUGAAAAAAUUAGAGUGUUUAAAGCAGACUAUUGUCUGAAUACAUUAGCAUGGAAUAAUGAAAUAGGACGGACUGAUUCUAUUUCGUUGGUUUCUAGGAUCACCGUAAUGAUUAAUAGGGAUAGUUGGG